rnacentral:lncRNA from 1 species
ACUUCGGUCUUUUACGUCGGCCUUCGCGAGCGUCUGGGCGGGUGGUAGGAACAAUGGCGCUGUCUUCAGUGGCACAGUGGAGCAGCUCUGAAGAUGCAAAGAUACACGAAAAAACUUCCAGAACAUCUGGGAGAAUAUUUAAUGGAAAAUCGCUUGGUUAAAACCUGACACUUUUAACAGUGAACAGCGUUCUGAGUGUGGACGAGUAGCCAGUGAAGAUAAUGAAUGUCGAAUGUGACUGACUAGCAGCUUCAUUUUGAAUGAGGGUCGCUGUCUGCCCAUUGAUAGAGGCCAGAUUGUCUUGGAAGUUCCAAAGUUGCAACGAUUUCUGGCUAGUGCCACGAGGUUUACUUGACUGUUGUGUGAAAAGCUGAUAAGAAAACCAUCCAGAAAAAAGCUCUUCGUUUUACAAACAUGAAAAUAAAACAUUUAGUUGAAUCCAUGGACAUGAAACCCACAGAUAUAGAGGGUUGGCCCGGUGCAGUGGCUCACGCCUGUAAUCCCAGCACUUUGGGAGGCCAAGGCGGGUGGAUCACCUGAGGUCAGAAGCUUGAGACCAGCCUGGCCAACAUGGGUACUGCUUUCUCUUGCUGCAGCUUGCUUCCUCCCUCAGGUAUGAAGUUAAGGCUGGAGUGCAAUGGCGUGAUCUCGG